UGCAUGAUUAGCUUCGGUGCUUCAGCAGACCGAGACCGCGGCUUCGGAACAUCGAGCACGGAGCAUAGACGGCACUGGGAGGGGCGAGAGAGGAGCGGGAAGGGCGGAUGGGGUUCUCUCAGUACGUUCACCCCUGCAGUAGUAACCUCGUGAGUGUGGGCAGCGUGUGUUGACCUCUGGGACCAAAAGUGUGCCCGUGGUGUCGCUUGAAGAGGAGGAGGAGGAGCUGUGGGUUCGAGUGUUGCCUGGCGAGUCUUUCCUCUGAGUAUUCCUUCUCCUGAGUUUCAAUAGGUGAGCGGGUGCCACGACCUUGACUGCCACAGGUGGAGGCGCUCACAGCUCGUCCUCCAGGUGAUGGGCAACACCCGUCAUUACACAAGAGACCAAAGAAAAAGAGGAGGACGAGAAAAAAAAAGAUAUUGAAUUCCUGAAGAAGUAGAUGACGAAGGGAAGACAACGCCUGCACCUCGCAUUCCUCCUUCACCACGUGAUCUACCUCAUCAAAAAUAACGUGGAAGAAGCGAACAUGAAGACACCCAAACAUACCAACACCUCGAAGUGCCUCUGCCUCCUCUCGCCCACCUCACUCACAGAUUCCUCGCUUCGCCCUCCCUCCCCACGCUCGCCUCGCCCUUCCUCCAUCUCAGGGAGGAAAACAAGUGAUGGAUUCCUGCAGGUGUGGCUUGACUAACUUCAUCUUCUUGCUGCAGGUGAGGAUGUGUAUUUUGCUUCCAGUGCGAGUUAUUGCCAGCUA